rnacentral:lncRNA from 10 species
AGUAGUUAAGUGUACCUCAUUUUGCAUUUUAUUUCCCAUGAUAUUUAUAUGACAAUGGCAAAGUAAGACACAACCAGAAUAACAUAGUGAUGUCUCAAAUAUCAGUUCAUUUUAAAGGCACAAGCUUCCUUAUAAUUAAAAUAGGCAAUAGCCUUGGUAAUUAAUUAGUCCCUCUCAGCCCUUCUUCAUCCUGCUCUUGUAUCAUGUGACCUUUAGAUUUGGCUAGAAGAGGGCAUUGGCAGUAGAGUGCAGGGGGAGAGAAAGUUCUGUAUUUCUCAGGUUGCUUCUCUGGCUGAAUAGCAGUUUAAGAGCAGCAGUGAUACUUCACCAACAGCCACAGCUCCUGUGGAGUGGACCCUCACUCAUAGGGGCAGUUCUCACAGGUUCUAACAACCACUUACCCUGCUUCCCCUCAGGCCUUAAAAUGGUCAGGCUUCAUACCAUCCUACUCCUCUGUGUUUCACCUUCUCUUGUUGGUUCCCUUAACCCUGCCUCCAGCUUUCUAACUAGUCCUUUCAUUACUCAUUCCAUGACCCUGUGACAAUGCCAUUUCUUCGCUGUCCAGGACCAUGGCUUAUACCAUGGCUUAUAAUAUCAUCUAUCAUGUGCUGUGUCCUACAAAAGUUUUAAAAUAAAAAUGGUCAAGAUGACAGUUAAUGAUAGUUUUCCAACUGACCAGUCAUUUCACAUCAUAAAGGUAAGAUUCAGCUCAUUCACCCUUUCUUUCUAGUUGACUUGUACCCCAUGUUCUUCUGAGAGCUGGGAGGCUGACCAUGGUCUGGCCAAGCCUCAGUCUAUACCUCUCUCCCCUUUUUCUCCUCAACCUUGGUGGAACCUGAUAUCUGUUGAGAGAAACCAGGCAGCUUGUCUGCUUGCUUGGAUUCUUGACCAUAUUGGGACCAUCUAUUUACUUUAAAAAAAAAAAAAUCCUGGCCGGGCGCGGUGGCUCAUGCCUGUAAUACCGGCACUUUGGGAGGCUGAGGCAGGUGGGUCACGAGGUCAGGAGAUCGAGACCAUCCUAGCUAACACGGUGAAACCCUGUCUGUACUAAAAAUACAGCAAAAAUAGCCGGGCGUGGUGGCGGGCACCUGUAGUCCCAGCUACUUGGGAGUCUAAGGCAGGAGAAUGGCAUGAACCCAGGAGGCAGAGCUUGCAGUGAGCCAAGAUUGAGCCACUGCACACCAGCCUGGGUGACAGGGCGAGACUCUGUCUCAAAAAAAUAAAAAUAAAAUAAAAUAAAAUAAAAUAAAUCCUUCAGAAUAGGCAAAUUUAUAGUUACUUAAAACAUAAGUCUCCCUUUCCGAUGACAUGAGUACUAUAGGAAUAUAUUAUUAUUUCCUAAGAUUCAAAUGAUAUAAAGCAUACAGAGUAGAAUGCUCAAAGGUCCUCUUUCUUACCUCCCAAUACCACUUCAGUCCCAGCAACAACUGCACUUUCACAAUUGACUAGGCCUCUUUCAGUCUCUGCCUGUGCCCUGAUGUGCAUAUCCAAGCA